CUUGACAAACUUAUAAGAGGUCCAGCCUGCCCAGUGACCCUGUUCAACGGCCGCGGUAUCCUAACCGUGCGAAGGUAGCGUAAUCACUUGUUCUUUAAAUGAGGACUAGUAUGAAUGGCACCACGAAGGUUAUACUGUCUCCUUUUUCUAAUCAGUGAAACUAAUCUUCCCGUGAAGAGGCGGGAAUAAAAAUAUAAGACGAGAAGACCCUAUGGAGCUUUAAACAAAUAUACACCUGCCUCUUUACCAAAAAUUUCAGAAGACAAGUAAUUAUUCAGGCAUUUUGAUAUAGCGUUUUAGGUUGGGGUGACCGCGGAGCAAAAAAUAACCUCCGCAGCGAACGGGAAUAUUCCCUAAACCAAGGGCCACAACCCCAAGUAUUGAAAAAUCAACACUAAUUGACCCAAUAAAUUUGAUCAAUGAAC
rnacentral:rRNA from 1 species